rnacentral:rRNA from 1 species
AGUGAACGCUGGCGGCAGGCCUAAUACAUGCAAGUCGAACGGCAGCACAGCUUAAGCUUGCUUAAGUGGGUGGCGAGUGGCGGACGGGUGAGGAAUACGUGGGAAUCUGCCCAGUCGUGGGGGAUAACGUAGGGAAACUUACGCUAAUACCGCAUGCGCCCUUUGGGGGAAAGCCGGGGAUCUUCGGACCUGGCGCGAUUGGAUGAGCCCACGUCGGAUUAGCUAGUUGGAGGGGUAAAGGCCCACCAAGGCGACGAUCCGUAGCUGGUCUGAGAGGAUGAUCAGCCACACUGGAACUGAGACACGGUCCAGACUCCUACGGGAGGCAGCAGUAGGGAAUAUUGGACAAUGGGCGCAAGCCUGAUCCAGCCAUGCCGCGUGAGUGAAGAAGGCCCUCGGGUUGUAAAGCUCUUUUGUUGGGGAAGAAAAGCCUUGGGUUAAUACCCUGAGGUUCUGACGGUACCCAAAGAAUAAGCACCGGCUAACUUCGUGCCAGCAGCCGCCGUAACAC